AUUGAACGCUGGCGGCAGGCCUAACACAUGCAAGUCGAACGAGUGGCGGACGGGUGAGUAAUGUCUGGGAAACUGCCCGAUGGAGGGGGAUAACUACUGGAAACGGUAGCUAAUACCGCAUACCAUCGGAUGUGCCCAGAUGGGAUUAGCUAGUAGUUGGGGUAACGGCUCACCUAGGCGACGAUCCCUAGCUGGUCUGAACGGAUGACCAGCAAACUUGGAACUGGAACACGGCCCAGACUCCGACGGGAGGCAGCAGUGGUGAAUAUUGCACAAGGGGCGCAAUCCUGAUACAGCCAUGCCGCGUGUAUGAAGAAGGCCUUCGGGUUGUAAAGUACUUUCAGCGAGGAGGCGUUACUCGCAGAAGAAGCACCGGCUAACUCCGUGCCAGCAGCCGCGGUAAUAC
rnacentral:rRNA from 1 species